rnacentral:rRNA from 1 species
UACGGGGGGGGCAAGCGUUGUUCGGAUUUACUGGGCGUAAAGGGCGCGUAGGCGGCGCGACAAGUCACUUGUGAAAUCUCCGGGCUUAACCCGGAGCGGCCAAGUGAUACUGUCGUGCUCGAGUGCGGAAGGGGCCACCGGAAUUCUCGGUGUAGCGGUGAAAUGCGUAGAUAUCGAGAGGAACACCGGUGGCGAAGGCGGCGUUCUGGACUGCAACUGACACUGUAAAACGAAAGCCAGGGGAGCAAACGGG